UCUUUCAGUUUUUUUCUAUUUUAGAUGUUAUUCUAUGAGUUUGUUUCAUUGUGGAAUGCUUGUUUUUGAAACCGAACUGAUCGAUGGGAUUAACUGCUUUUAAACAAUGGUAGAUUUUAAUAUUUGGAGGAUUACAUUUUAAAAAAGUUUUCAGAUUUGUGGAAGUAGUCAAAUUGGUCUAUAUGAAUAUGAAGAUACUAUGUGUGGAUCCUGUACAGAUUUAGGUACCAUGACCACUGCUCCAACUUUUUAGAGACUUAGAAAAUGCGUCAGACGGAUUGAUGAAUUGAAGAUAUAGGUGAGCUUUAAUAAACUUUUAUGUGUUAACUGCUUUAAUACUUCAGCUGUAAUUAAUGCGGCUGCUUUCUUAGCUCUAAGCUUUUUAAUUUUGAGCUCACAAAUAGAGAUAGCUGGGAUAUUUGCAUAAUUUGGUUGAACAUUACUGAGGAACUACUGUCAUUUGGACAAAACGUUUCAGCUGGGUGUAUUGCGAAUGCAUUUGCUUUAUCACAAUCACUUUUAGCUCAUGUAUUACUGUUAAUUUUUAAUGGUGUAACGUGGCAUGUUGGACGUUUAAGAUAUUUGGUACUUUUCCAGAGCUAGUAAUCAUCUGUUUGUCAGCUGAUAGCUGAUAUAAGGAUUUGUGUAUUGACUCAUUCUUAAUAUAAGUAAUUUUUCGUUCUGUUUCGGCUGUUACUCUAUUAAGGUUCGUUCCGUCGUAACAUUAAUUUCCGGGUUAGGAGAUUUUAUUUCGUUAGGGUAAUUUGAACCUAUCAUUUUCCGCUUCAUUUCCGGAGUAUUGUCCCAAGCAGCUUGUUGAAUUUCUUGUGUAAACCUGUCAAUUUAAAGCUCUAGUUGUUCGAUUGUUGCGAUUUGUGAACAGUUUAUUGUAGCCUGAAGUAUUUGAUUAAGUUUGAAAGAUAGAAUGUAAUGCGAGUUUUUAAACUUGUUAGUGUUUUUACUCAAAAAUAGUUUCGUGCAAAACUUCUGCUUAAGCGAGGACACAUUCAAAUAUGUGUUGGAUAGCAUAAACAGUGAACUGAAGACUGCACGCAGGUCCACAGGAAUACCAGAAAUGGUUAAACUGGUGGCAACUUUAAAGUUUUUGGUGCAAGGAGGAGACCAACAACAAAUUGAACAAGAUCAGCAUACAGGACUAGCCCAACAAAUAGUUUCGCGUUGUGUGUUGGAAGUGUGCAAAGCAAUUGAAUAUGUGAUCAUAAGAUGAUUAUAAGAGCCGUUAGCGGUCGAUUUGCAGUAGCUUGCCAUUACUCACAUGUGUGGAAUUUGUCAAGCGAGCGUCAACAUUUAAAAGCCAACUAUGAGAAUGGGGAAAUAGGAAUUCGUAUUCUUGGUCAUUUUGGAUAUCUGCUUGAAGCUCGGCAUUUAACUCUAUAUAAAAUUGCUCCUGACAACUUCGCUGAAAGUUAUUAGAACACAAAAUUUUUGAAAGCUAGAUCCAUUAGCCAACGUGUACCAUCUUUGGAAUAUUAAAAGCGCGGUUUCGAUGCCUAUUAGCUGCUAGAGUUGCUUACGCAACGCUUUAUAGAGUAACCCCCAAGUACUCAUAAUAAAAAUUUUCAUAAAUACUAUCCUAAUCAAAAUAGAAGUUUUUCAGCAAAUGCAUAAUAAAUUUCCGUUGCAAAAUAAUAGCCCAAAUUUCAGAAGAAGUAAAAUGGAGCCAAUCAAUAUAGAUUACGUUGACAAAAACGAUAGAAACUAAGUUUCAAAUUUUGAUGUUAUAACCUCAAAGGAACAUUACCAAUAAUAGACCUACAUAUAGAAAAUUGUACUAUUUUAUGUUUAGAUACUAGCUCAUCUACAUAAUAAUACUUGAAGUUCCAUUAAAACUUAAAUCUUUAAAUAGUGAAACUAAAAUUAAUUUUGAGAUUAUUACCAAUUUACCAAAAGAAUUCAAAAAAGAUGCAACAAUGCCAUGAAAGUUGUCCAACUUUGAGAUGCAACUCUCGGACAAAAAAUUUUCAAAUCAUUUAAAGGAAUUAUUAAUAUAUACAAAGAAAUUAGUACUGUACCAUAAAUAACAGCGAAAUUUAAGUGAACGAUUAUUCAUAUAAAGAAUUUUACCAAUUAAAUACAAUCAAUAUAAAUCAAAAAGUUUUGCAAAAUUUAUAUAAUAACUUAAAUACUGAAGAAAAGAGCGCUUUAAAAAAAAACUUAAUAAUUAUCACGAUUUAACUUACACUGAAGGUCAACAGUUAACUAGCACUAUUAUUACAAAACACGAAAUUAGAACAACUACCGACAGACCAAUUUGCACUUAAACUUAUAGAUAUUCUCAAAUACACUAAAAAGGAAUAAGUGCAAAAAUAACAGAUAUGCUGAAACACGGCAUUAUAAAAGAAAGUAACUCUCUUUAUAAUAGACCUUGUGGAUAGUACCCAAGAAGACAGACAUUCUCGACGAUAGAUUUAGCAAAAGCAUUUCACCAAAUCCUUGUUAAAGAGAAAGAUCGGUUGAAAGGUACUUUUUCUACGGCCUACGGGAGCUAAACAAAUUAUGGAAAAUUUAUCUGAGAUUUCGCAAAUGUAACGUACCCGAUGAUGAAGUUUUUAAAGAAAUUAAAAUUUUAUUGAUUCAUUCAGACAUUCCAGUACCUAAGAGUUCGGAUUUUAGCAAAUGUUCUGAGUUGGCAACUGGUGCCAACUCUUUCUCAGCAGGACAAACAUCCAGUGAGCUUUGCCAGCCGAACUUUGAACUACCAUGAACGUAACUAUUCGGCUACAGUAUGCCUAAAAUGGUUGUAUACAAAAACGGAAGGAAAAGAUUCUAUUCCAAAGCUUUACCGAUGGUUAGUAAAGCUAAACAACUACAAUUAGAUUGAUUACAUUAAUGUAGGUAAUAGCAACACAACAGAUUUUUUGAGCAUAAUCAAUUCGGAUACUCAUGAAAUAAACUGAGGUAAUGACGACAAUUUCAGCUGUUUAAAUAAUAACGUAAUCGACGAUACAAUCACAAUCUAUCCUCAAGCUGAUGAUUUAAGUAAUUACAUGGCAUACUAGACACAAUAGUGAAUAUAUUUUCUGUUAAAAUUUUAUUAACAAACAGUUAAAACAGGAAAUUUGAAAUUGAAAAUAAUAAACAUAUAUGAACAUUUCAGGUAUAAAAAUAGGAAUUCAUACAAAUCUCACAAAAAAUUGUAGAUAUAUACAAAAAUAAGCCAAAUUAAAAUUUUUUCAGAUGCUCAGACAAUGCAAAAGAUAUGUCUUCAGUAGACGAAACAUUUAGACAAAUCCACAUGUACCAUAAGAGUGAAACAGGUCACACUGGUACGUAAGGUUGAAAAGAUGUACAUAUAUAUUAUUCGAAUUGAAGAACUUUGAUACAAAAGUAUUUUAAUAAUUGUGAUACUUGCAAUAGAAUAAAAUACGAUCGCAAACCAGCGAAACCUAAGUUUGCAUUGCCCGAAACCCCAAACAAUAAGAAUCAGAUUAUACAUAUGAAUAUUUAUACGAUUUCCAAAUCUAAUUUAUUAACAUUUAUAAAUUGGUUCUCUUAAUUUACUACUGCCUACUACCUCGAGGACAGAAAUAACCAUAAAUUGAUAACAGACAACGAAUAUAAAAGAGUAAACAUAAGGAAUUACCUCAGAACAGGAAACAAAACCAUAUUAUCAUAGGGGAAGCGCCGAUAUUGAGAGAUUACAUAAUACACUUACUAAAAAAUUAGAAUGUAAAACAUAGAAAAUAACUUGAUAAGCAUUAAAGACAAAGCACAAUGCCUGUUUUGGCUGAUCUAGCUUAAGAAAAGGAAUUUCACAAGAAAUAACGAUAAUUUCAGAAAGUUGGGAAUGA